rnacentral:ncRNA from 14 species
GCCCCCAUCGUCUAGUGGCCUAGGACACCUCUCUUUCAAGGAGGCGACGGGGAUUCGAAUUCCCCUGGGGGUA